UGGCAGGUUGGCGGAGCCGCCGGGCGCCUCUCCCGCGCGCCCGACCGACCGCAGGGGGGAAUUCAGCACCGCGGAGAGCGGCUCGCCCGGGGCGCGGGGCGCCAUGCGGCUGCUGCUGCUGGCCGUGCUGGUCUGGUUCUCGGUGGCCCGCGCGGGCUGCGAGCCCAAGAUCAUCAACAUCGGCGCCGUGCUGAGCACCAAGAAGCACGAGCAGGUCUUCCGCGACGCCAUCAGCCAGGCCAACAAGCGGCACGGCACCUGGAAGAUCCAGCUGAACGCCACCUCCGUCACCCACAAGCCCAACGCCAUCCAGAUGGCUCUCUCCGUCUGCGAGGACCUCAUCUCCAGCCAGGUGUAUGCCAUCUUAGUGAGCCACCCACCAGCUCCAAAUGACCACUUGACACCAACACCGGUGUCAUACACAGCUGGGUUCUAUCGGAUUCCUGUCCUUGGGCUGACCACUCGCAUGUCCAUAUAUUCAGAUAAGAGUAUUCACCUGUCCUUCCUACGAACGGUGCCCCCCUACUCCCACCAGUCCAACGUUUGGUUCGAGAUGAUGCGCUUUUACAAGUGGAACCAUAUCAUCCUCAUUGUCAGCGAUGACCACGAAGGGCGAGCUGCCCAAAAGAAGCUGGAGACUCUCUUGGAAGAGAAGGAAUCCAAGAGUAAAAAAAGGAACUAUGACAGCCUCGAACAACUAUCCUAUGACAGCAAGCGAGGACCCAAGGCCGAGAAGGUGCUUCAGUUUGAACCAGGGACAAAAAAUGUGACUUCACUGCUGCUGGAAGCCAAAGAACUGGAGGCUCGGGUGAUUAUCCUCUCCGCAAGCGAGGACGAUGCCACCACCGUGUAUAUGGCAGCAGCCAAAGAAAACAUGACCGGUCCGGGUUACGUAUGGCUGGUGGGAGAAAGGGAGAUCUCAGGCAACGCCUUGCGCAAUGCGCCAGAAGGACUGAUUGGUUUACAGCUCAUGAACGGGAAGAACGAAUCUGCUCAUAUCAGAGACGCAGUCGCUGUGGUGGCACAGGCUGUACAUGACUUGUUUGAGAAGGAGAACAUCACUGACCCUCCCCGGGGCUGUGUGGGGAACACUAACAUCUGGAAGACGGGGCCCCUCUUCAAAAGGGUGCUGAUGCAGACCAAAUAUGCAGAAGGCGUGACUGGCAGGGUAGAGUUUAAUGAAGACGGGGACAGGAAAUAUGCCAACUAUAGUGUCAUGAAUCUCCAGAACAACAAACUGGUGCAGGUCGGAGUCUACAACGGGAGCCACUUUCUGCCCAAUGACCGAAAGAUCGUCUGGCCGGGAGGGGAAACAGAAACUCCGCAGGGCUACGAGAUGUCCACAAAACUAAAGAUAGUCACAAUCCAUCAGGAGCCAUUUGUCUACGUGAAGCCCACCCUGGCCGACGGGAAGUGCAAGCCGCUGCUCAACAGCACGGGGGGACUGGUGCAGCAGGUGCUCUGUACUGGGCCCAACGAGACCUUGCCAGGACGCCCCAGCGUAAUGUUAUGUUGUUAUGGCUUCUGCAUCGACUUACUCAUCAAGCUUGCGAAGACAAUGAAUUUUACCUACGAAGUUCAUCUAGUGGGUGACGGUAAAUUUGGCACACAAGAACGGGUGAACAACAGCAACAAGAAGGAGUGGAACGGGAUGAUGGGGGAGCUGCUGAGUGGCCAGGCUGACAUGAUUGUGGCACCACUAACCAUUAACAAUGAGCGGGCUCAGUAUAUUGAGUUUUCCAAGCCUUUUAAGUACCAAGGACUGACCAUCCUCGUCAAGAAGGAAAUUCCCCGCAGCACUCUGGAUUCAUUCAUGCAACCAUUCCAGAGCACAUUAUGGCUCCUGGUGGGGCUGUCGGUGCACGUGGUGGCCGUGAUGUUAUAUCUACUGGACCGUUUCAGUCCCUUUGGCCGAUUCAAAGUGAACAGUGAAGAAGAGGAAGAGGACGCUCUGACGCUUUCAUCGGCUAUGUGGUUUUCCUGGGGGGUCCUUCUGAAUUCUGGCAUCGGAGAAGGUGCCCCAAGAAGUUUCUCAGCUCGGAUCCUUGGCAUGGUCUGGGCUGGUUUUGCCAUGAUUAUCGUGGCCUCCUACACUGCCAACCUGGCUGCUUUCCUGGUGUUAGACCGACCAGAGGAACGGAUCACCGGCAUCAACGAUCCUCGGUUGCGAAACCCUUCGGAUAAGUUCAUCUAUGCCACCGUGAAGCAGAGCUCGGUAGACAUUUAUUUCCGGAGGCAGGUGGAGCUAAGCACCAUGUACCGGCACAUGGAGAAACACAAUUACGAAAGUGCUGCUGAAGCCAUUCAGGCUGUUCGGGACAACAAGCUCCACGCCUUCAUCUGGGACUCGGCUGUACUAGAAUUUGAAGCCUCGCAGAAGUGUGACCUGGUGACUACAGGGGAGCUUUUCUUCCGCUCCGGCUUCGGCAUUGGAAUGCGCAAAGACAGUCCCUGGAAACAGAACGUCUCUCUGGCCAUCCUCAACCUCCACGAGAAUGGCUUCAUGGAAGAACUUGACAAGACUUGGGUGAGAUAUCAGGAGUGUGAUUCCCGCAGCAAUGCUCCGGCAACACUCACCUUCGAAAACAUGGCAGGUGUAUUCAUGCUGGUGGCUGGAGGUAUUGUGGCCGGGAUAUUUUUAAUAUUCAUAGAAAUAGCAUACAAAAGGCAUAAAGACGCCCGGAGGAAACAGAUGCAACUGGCGUUCGCGGCAGUUAAUGUGUGGCGGAAAAAUCUGCAGUCCUCUCUCUCUCUUGUGGCCGUAGGAUUCACCUUCAGAAAAGGCCCUGAGCAUUUUUAUUUAGUGGAUAGAAAAAGUGGUAGAGCAGAACCAGACCCUAAAAAGAAAGCCACUUUUAGGUCCAUCACCUCUACCCUGGCCUCCAGCUUCAAGAGACGUAGGUCAUCCAAAGACACGACAGCCCCGCGAUGUCACCACGCCCAGCAUCCGUGAGCUGCAGUGCAGAUAGCCCUGUAGAGACUCCCGGCUUCAGGAGCUGCUCAGCACAGGCAGUAUCACCCCACAGACAUCACUGGGCAACUCAAUCUCUCUGACCCCUCGGUCAGCACCGUGGUGUGAGAUCUAGGGACGGACCAAUGGAGACUCCGAGGGCCCUUCUGGAGACACCAAAGGGAAGCCUUUGACAUCCACCCACGGCGCCUGCAUUGCUUUCUUCCCUCCGGCCCCAAUAGAUCCCUGCUUCCUCCAAGGGUGACCAAUCUCACUUGUGGCCUUGGAAUGAACUACUGAACACCAGGAGGCCUGGGAGCACCUCCGUUUUUCCUAGAGUGUGGCCUCCAUUUACUUCUCCUCCAAGACACGCAGAGAAGGUAGUUCUGAGGGAGACGCCCACCCAGGAGAGGAUGGAUGGCACAUUCAGUGAAGCGGACCGGGUCUCUUGCCGAGGGGAAGAGUCUCGUCAUCAUUCCAUGCAUGCACAGAACUCAAGCCCGCCUUACUUCACAUGACUGUUUCUAGACUGUAUCAGGGGUCUGUGAAGAGGCCCCCCAGCCCCCCAGCUCAUGGUUCUCUUUGUUUAUAUAUAGCAUUCUGUAAAAAAGACCUGCUGGUCCACCACCUCCCACCCAGAGAGCCCUGUGGCCCCUUUUUUUUUAGGCUGCUACCGUGAAGGUGCCAGUGUUCCCUCAGGACACCCAAGGUUUUCUCUGAUGGGAGGGGGGACUCUCCCCAUCUCUCUCUGCUUUGACUACUUCUUAGCUCGUUUGUGAAAGAGAGUUUUAGCCAACCCCUUCCACGCCUCACACCUGGUAAAGCAACAUUUCCAGCAGGACGGGAAGUUCCCAGCUUCUCUGCAACUCUUUGCUGGCUGUUGAUCCAAAUCUCCAGCUCUGCUCCUCUUCUGCAGAAGUGCUUUCCAGUCUCUGCCCCGGACGGACAGCCAGCGCUGACCCCUUUGCUCCUCUCCUAGGCUGGGAUCAAGGGGAGCCUUGGAGUUGUUCCUCUCUUCUCACAUGUUUUAUGGCUACAUGCAUGGAGAUUUGUAACAAAUCUCUCUGGCAAACAAGCCCCUGCCAAGAUCUGCUAGCCUUUUAGACCGAGAGGGUCCUGAUUUUUUCCUCCCCUGGCCUCAGAACACCAUGCCCCCAACCGAAUAUCCUGUGGUCCAACCUGUGCCACUGCCUUCUGGAAAGAAAGCCAGGCCUCCUGGCUCUCCAGCUGAGAGUUGUGUUGGUUCCAGAGUUUCCAUCUCUGACCCUGAUUGAUCCUCACAAUAUUUUUCAUUCUCCCACUCAGGAGGACCAAAGUACCAGCCUUAUCACUACUCCAGCAGCUCUCUGCCACGUAACACUGGCCUGUCUUCUAGGAUGGUUAUGAGUUUGACUGAGGUAACCCUAUAAAAAUAUUCUUCUGGUGUUAAACUGGAACCCCAAAUCCGUUUUUGCAAUUGUGGAUGCAGAAUCUCAAGAUUUAAGAUAAUCCCACUUUGCCCAAAGAUUAUAUGCUCUGUCGAGAAGCAGAAGCACCCUUAAUCUACUCCCCUCCAUGCCGCAAGGUCAGAGCCCAGGGCAGGCUGCAGGCAGGAGGGGCAGGCCCGGAGGCCUGGGGAGCUCUGAGCGAGCGAGGCCAGGGUGUCACUCUGACGCUGCUUGUGAGAGUCGGCAAACCUGAUUCCGCACAGUUCACAUUGCAGCUGCCCAGGGGACUCGAGUAUGGUUAGCAAAGUAGUGCCAACUUGGGGUGCCUCUCAAGAACUCCCAACCUGGAGGAGGCACCUCAACACAUGACCACGGCCUUCUCCUACACCCCCCCCACCCCCAUUGUACCCUUCAACCUGGAUCCUAAUUUACCAAGCUGGCCUGUGUGCACCCACACGCAUUCUGUACAUGCUUACUCAGAAGUAGGGCCCAUUGCAUUCCCUGGGACCUUCUCCUAGGUAAGUAGAGAUGGAACUGUAAUUCUAACUAGAGUUUUUGAAAUAAAGCAUAAGACUUUGGACAGGUGCCCAGAGCCGCACUGAAGAAGCAGUGUUCAAUAAUUAAGAGUUAUCAUACAUAUGUAUAGUUCUGCUGUGGGUUUUUGUAAUAGUGAAUUUAAAUCCAUUACUUUAAAAUGACAUAUUCUUGCCUGUGUGUGUGUGCAUGUGUACCUGCAAGGACUCUUAUCCCAAAGGUGCUUUUUUUUCCAAGAGGCAACUGGGCUUUCUGGUUUUUCUUUGAAGAUGUUUCGCUUCUCAUCCAAGAAGCUUCUUCUUAAAGGUCCAGUUGCCUCUUGAAAAAGCACCUUUGGGAUAACUGAGACCUGGAUGACUGAGAAUCGCCACAAACAUUUUGCAAGGACACUUCUUUACUUAAAUUCACGGCGAAGAGGAAAAAUAAGAGGCAGCAGCCUAUAUUUCCCUUCCUCACUCUGAACUUAAAUAAAAUUUCCUCAAAGACUC